AGUUCGGAGUGGGCAGGAUAGGUCUCUUGAAUCUGAUUUCAACCCGUGAUGCCUUGCUUCUCUUUUAAGGGUAUGAUUUUGAGAAUAUGACUUUAGAAUACAAGUCUCCUCGAACUAAUGUCGUAAAGUUGAAUUCAUAGAUUUAGGUACUUUACGUCAGUGGUUUAUGGAGUUGAACCUGAAAAAUCAAGUAUCUUAGUAAAUAUCAAGAAGGUCCAAUCCAG
rnacentral:lncRNA from 1 species